rnacentral:rRNA from 1 species
GGCUUAAUUUGACUCAACGCGGGGAAACUCACCCGGCCCGGACACUGUAAGGAUUGACAGAUUGAAAGCUCUUUCACGAUUCAGUGGUUGGUGGUGCAUGGCCGUUCUUAGUUGGUGGAGCGAUUUGUCUGGUUAAUUCCGAUAACGAACGAGACUCUAGCCUACUAAAUAGUACAGAGAUCUUUACGUCUCUGCUACUUCUUAGAGGGACUGACGGCGUUUAGCCGUACGAAAUUGAGCAAUAACAGGUCUGUGAUGCCC